rnacentral:tRNA from 1 species
CGUGGCCUGGAGCAGUGGCAGCUCGGCGGGCGCAUAACCCGAAGGUGCCCAAUGGGCGCCCGGUGCGAAUCCAGCCGCCACGACCA